rnacentral:rRNA from 1 species
UUGGGAAUCUUGGACAAUGGGGGAAACCCUGAUCCAGCCAUGCCGCGUGAGUGAUGAAAGCCUUCGGGUUGUAAAACUCUUUCGACGGGGACGAUAAUGACGGUACCCGUAGAAGAAGCUCCGGCUAACUUCGUGCCAGCAGCCGCGGUAAUACGAAGGGGGCUAGCGUUGUUCGGAAUUACUGGGCGUAAAGCGCGCGCAGGCGGUUUUCCAAGUCAGUGGUGAAAGCCCGGAGCUCAACUCCGGAACUGCCAUUGAAACUGUUGAACUUGAGGACGAGAGAGGUGAGUGGAAUUCCCAGUGUAGAGGUGAAAUUCGUAGAUAUUGGGAAGAACACCAGUGGCGAAGGCGGCUCACUGGCUCGUUUCUGACGCUCAGGCGCGAUAGCGUGGGGAUCAAACA